UUUCACUUACAACUCUUUCAUGUUCCUUCUUUUGGUCAGUUGAUUUCACUUUUCUCUAUUCCAGUGGUAUCCAACGAUCAUCAGUAUUUCUGAUUUAUUUUCUUUCUUUUGAUUUUAGGUCUUCUGUUGAUUUUUUCAUUCGAUUAGUUUGAUUUUAGGUUCUUUUGCUCCUCCUUCUCUCCUUCUUCCCCAUUUAGGGUUUGUAUUCUAUUUUUUGUCCUUGGCUAUUGAAAUUUAGUGUUUCUUCCGCUUUGUUCUUGAUGUGGGUGUUUUCCCAAUUUGUAAUUAUUCAUGUGUAGGCCUUUGCAUUCAAUAAGAUGUAGGGAUGGAGCAGAGGAAGCUUCAAAUUCCAAAAUUCUAUCCAUUUUUUUCUGGACAAAUUGCUAUGUCUUUAUACUGCAGUAAUCUCUUAGCAAACAAAUCCUAAUUACAUCUCUCGAGAGAACUAAGGAGGAGUAUACCAUUAAAUAUGGAAGAAGCAAAGCUGGGUUUCAGGUUUUGCUAGCUGCUUGAACAGGGAAUCUGUAUAACUUACGUUUUCUUUAUUAUUUCCUACUUCCUCCUCCUCUUUGAUUGAGGGUAUUGAGAUGUUAACUGUCUUCACCAUAACAAUAACAUACAGGCACAAACUUAAGGAGCAAAUAAAACACUCUGUGGAUCAUCUAGAGGAAGUUAAUAACCGCAGACUCAGGUUUCAGAAGUUAAAAGGUUCUUGAUCAAGGGAAGAAGAUUGAACUUUUGUCACAUGAAUCUAACGGUAAUUCUAUGUUGCUCCGACUUUUACCCAACUAGGAAGAUACUUCUUACAUCAAAAGGGUAUAUUAGGUAACCCGCAUUCUAACUUAACAACUCACAAGUGCUCCACUAUUACAAGGUAUUCACUUCUGUUUGUUUAAGCUGAAAAAUUGUCUAUUCAUUUGUAACAAUGAUUGUCACCUUUCCUGUCUCGCUACUUAUAUAUUAAUUCUUUUGUAAGUACUACUUAUAUGAUCAUAAUUGUUAUGUUA